rnacentral:rRNA from 1 species
ACUCCAGACUCCUACGGGAGGCAGCAGUGAGGAAUAUUGGUCAAUGGCCGAGAGGCUGAACCAGCCAAGUCGCGUGAGGGAAGAAUGUCCUAUGGAUUGUAAACCUCUUUUGUCAGGGAGCAAAGUCACCCACGUGUGGGUGUUGGAGAGUACCUGAAGAAAAAGCAUCGGCUAACUACGUGCCAGCAGCCGCGGUAAUACGUAGGGGGCAAGCGUUAUCCGGAUUUACUGGGUGUAAAGGGAGCGUAGACGGAAAGGCAAGUCAGAAGUGAAAACCCAAGGCUCAACCAUGGGACUGCUUUUGAAACUGUCAAACUAGAGUACGGGAGAGGUAAGAGGAAUUCCUAGUGUAGCGGUGAAAUGCGUAGAUAUUAGGAGGAACACCAGUGGCGAAGGCGUCUUACUGGACCGAAACUGACGUUGAGGCUCGAAAGCGUGGGGAGCAAACAGGAUUAGAUACCCUUGUA